rnacentral:lncRNA from 1 species
UCACCUGGGAGGCGCCGGGCUUCGACGGCGGGAUGCCCAUCACAGGUAGUGCCACCAACUGCCACCACCUGCGUCACCUGCGUCACCUCUGUGUCACCUGGGUCACCUGGGUCACCUCUGGGUCACCAACUGUGCUGCGUCACCUCUGGGUCACCUGUGUGUCACCUGGGUCACCUCUGUGUCACCUCUGUGUCAGCUGGGUCACCUCUGGGUCACCAACUGUGCUGGGUCACCUCUGUGUCACCUCUGUGUCACCUGGGUCACCUCUGGGUCACCUGGGUCACCUCCGGGUCACCAACUUUGCUGGGUCACCUCUGUGUCACCUCUGUGUCACCUGGGUCACCUCUGGGUCACCUGGGUCACCUCUGGGUCACCAACUUUGCUGGGUCACCUCUGUGUCAGCUGGGUCACCUCUGGGUCACCAACUGUGCUGGGUCACCUCUUUGUCACCUCUGUGUCACCUCUGUGUCACCUGGGUCACCUCUGCGUCACCAACUGUGCUGGGUCACCUCUGUGUCACCUGUGUGUCACCUCUGGGUCACCAACUGUGCUGGGUCACCUCUGGGUCACCUCUGUGUCACCUGGNNNNNNNNNNNNNNNNNNNNNNNNGGUCACCAACUGUGCUGCGUCACCUCUGGGUCACCUGUGUGUCACCUGGGUCACCUCUGGGUCACCUCUGGGUCACCUGUGUCACCUCUGGGUCACCAACUGUGCUGGGUCACCUCUGUGUCACCUCUGUGUCACCUCUGUGUCACCUGUGUCACCUCUGGGUCACCAUCAGUAUCACCUGCGUCACCUCUGGCUCACCAACUGUGCUGGGUCACCAACUGUGCUGGGUCACCUCUGUGUCACCUCUGUGUCACCUGGGUCACCUCUGUGUCACCUCUGUGUCACCUCUGUGUCACCCACCGCCUCAUCUCUGUGUCACCUCUGUGUCACCAUCAGAGUCACCACUGCGUCACCUCUGUGUCACCUCUGUGUCACCAAUUGUCAGUGUCCCCAGUGCCCCCAGCACCCCUGACGCUCCCAAUGCCCCCAUUGCCCCCAUUGCCCCCAUUCCCCCAAUGCCCCCAAUGCCCCCAUUGCCCCCACUGCCCCCAUUGCCCCCAUUGACCCCAAUGCCUUUAUUGACCCCACUGCCCCCCAUGUCCCCAUUCCCCCCAAGCCUCCCAUUGCCCCCAACGCCCCCAACAACCCCAUUGCCCCCAAAGAUCCCACUG